rnacentral:rRNA from 1 species
GUGUAGACCCGAAACCAAGUGAUCUAUCCAUGGCCAGGAUGAAGGUGCCGUAACAGGUACUGGAGGUCCGAACCGACUAGUGUUGCAAAACUAGCGGAUGAGCUGUGGAUAGGGGUGAAAGGCUAAACAAACUUGGAAAUAGCUGGUUCUCUCCGAAAACUAUUUAGGUAGUGCCUCAAGUAUUACCGUCGGGGGUAGAGCACUGUUUUGGCUAGGGGGUCAUGGCGACUUACCAAACCAAGGCAAACUCCGAAUACCGACGAGUACAGCUUGGGAGACAGAGCACCGGGUGCUAACGUCCGGACUCAAGAGGGAAACAACCCAGACCGCCAGCUAAGGUCCCUAAAAUUGGCUAAGUGGGAAACGAAGUGGGAAGGCUAAAACAGUCAGGAUGUUGGCUUAGAAGCAGCCAUCAUUUAAAGAAAGCGUAAUAGCUCACUGAUCGAGUCGUCCUGCGCGGAAGAUGUAACGG